AUUACUAGAGCAAAGGAUAGACAGCGCCCGCGGAGCUCGCUCCCGGGGCCACCCUACUCCGGUAGGGUUUAGAGUCGUCGGGCCUCUCGGAGAAGCUCGGUCCUGAACUCCACCCUUGAAUAAACUACCUUUGUUGCUUUGGCGGGCCGCCUCGUGCCAGCGGCUUCGGCUGUUGAGUGCCCGCCAGAGGACCACAACUCUUGUUUUUAGUGAUGUCUGAGUACUAUAUAAUAGUUAAAACUUUCAACAACGGAUCUCUUGGUUCUGGCAUCGAUGAAGAACGCAGCGAAAUGCGAUAAGUAAUGUGAAUUGCAGAAUUCAGUGAAUCAUCGAAUCUUUGAACGCACAUUGCGCCCUCUGGUAUUCCGGGGGGCAUGCCUGUUCGAGCGUCAUUAUAACCACUCAAGCUCUCGCUUGGUAUUGGGGUUCGCGGUUUCGCGGCUCCUAAAAUCAGUGGCGGUGCCUAUCGGCUCUACGCGUAGUAAUACUCCUCGCGAUUGAGUCCGGUAGGUCUACUUGCCAGCAACCCCUAAUUUUUUAAGGUUGACCUCGGAUCAGGUAGGGAUACCCGCUGAACUUAAGCAUAUCAAUAAGCGGAGGAAAAGAAACCAACAGGGAUUACCUCAGUAACGGCGAGUGAAGCGGUAACAGCUCAAAUUUGAAAGCUGGCUCUUUUAGGGUCCGCGUUGUAAUUUGUAGAAGAUGCUUCGGGUGUGGCCCCGGUCUAAGUUCCUUGGAAC
rnacentral:rRNA from 1 species